UGACGGGGGCCCGCACAAGCAGCGGAGCGUGCGGUUUAAUUCGAAGUUACGCGAAGAACCUUACCAGGGCUUGACAUGGCAUCGACCGGCGAUGAAAGUCGUCUUCCCUUCGGGGCGGUGUCACAGAUGCUGCAUGGCUGUCGUCAGCUCGUGCCGUGAGGUGUUGGGUUAAGUCCCGCAACGAGCGCAACCCUCGCCGUGUGUUGAAUUUUUCACACGGGACUGCCCGGAGCAACCGGGAGGAAGGCGGGGAUGACGUCAAGUCAGCAUGGCCCUUACGUCUAGGGCUACACACGUACUACAAUGGUGGGUACAGAGGGCAGCAAAGCCGCGAGGCCAAGCCAAUCCCAAAAAACCCAUCUCAGUCCGGAUUGCAGUCUGCAACUCGACUGCAUGAAGCUGGAAUCGCUAGUAAUCCCGGAUCAGCAUGCCGGGGUGAAUACGUUCCCGGGCCUUGUACACACCGCCCGUCACACCACGAAAGCUGGUUUUACCCGAAGCCGACGGACUAACCGCAAGGAAGUAGUCGUCGACGGUAGGACUGGUGAUUGGGGUGAAGUCGUAACAAGGUAGCCGUAGGGGAACCUGCGGCUGGAUCACCUCCUUU
rnacentral:rRNA from 1 species